AUUGAACGCUGGCGGCAGGCUUAACACAUGCAAGUCGAGCGGGGGAAGGUAGCUUGCUACCGGACCUAGCGGCGGGCGGGUGAGUAAUGCUUAGGAAUCUGCCUAUUAGUGGGGGACAACAUCUCGAAAGGGACGCUAAUACCGCAUACGUCCUACGGGAGAAAGCAGGGGAUCUUCGGACCUUGCGCUAAUAGAUGAGCCUAAGUCGGAUGAGCUAGUUGGUGGGGUAAAGGCCUACCAAGGCGACGAUCUGUAGCGGGUCUGAGAGGAUGAUCCGCCACACUGGGACUGAGACACGGCCCAGACUCCGACGGGAGGCAGCAGUGGGGAAUAUUGGACAAUGGGGGGAACCCUGAUCCAGCCAUGCCGCGUGUGUGAAGAAGGCCUUAUGGUUGUAAAGCACUUUAAGCGAGGAGGAGGCUACUCUAGUUAAUACCUAGGGAUAGUGGACGUUACUCGCAGAAUAAGCACCGGCUAACUCUGUGCCAGCAGCCGCGGUAA
rnacentral:rRNA from 1 species